rnacentral:rRNA from 1 species
GACGUAGGGGGCCAGCGUUGCUCGGAAUUACUGGGCGUAAAGGGUCCGUAGGCGGUGCGGUAAGUCGGGAGUGAAAUCUCUGGGCUUAACUCAGAGGCUGCUUCCGAAACUACCGUGCUCGAGUGCGAGAGAGGCAAGUGGAAUUGCGGGUGUAGCGGUGAAAUGCGUAGAUAUCCGCAGGAACAUCCGAGGCGAAAGCGGCUUGCUGGAUCGCAACUGACGCUGAGGGACGAAAGCUAGGGGAGCAAACAGG